CAGCCGCCGCGGUAAUACAGAGGAUGCAAGCGUUAUCCGGAAUGAUUGGGCGUAAAGUGUCUGUAGGUGGCUUUUCAAGUCCGCCGUCAAAUCCCAGGGCUCAACCCUGGACAGGUGGUGGAAACUACCAAGCUGGAGUAUGGUAGGGGCAGAGGGAAUUUCCGGUGGAGCGGUGAAAUGCAUUGAGAUCGGAAAGAACACCAACGGCGAAAGCACUCUGCUGGGCCGACAUUGACACUGAGAGACGAAAGCUAGGGGAGCAAAUGGGAUUAGAUACCCCUGUAGUCCCUGUCUCUUAUAC
rnacentral:rRNA from 1 species